CCCGUCGAAGACCCUCACCCGUGCCCCGACUGGUCCCCCCUUUUUUGUAAAACUUAAAGCAGGCGCGGCAUUAACGCUUCCCGCCCCGGUGACCUCUCAGGGGUCUCCCCGCCAAAGGUGCUCCGCCGCUGAGGAACAUGGCGAAGGUGGAGCAGGUCCUGAGCCUCGAGCCGCAGCACGAGCUCAAAUUCCGAGGUCCCUUCACUGAUGUUGUCACCACCAACCUGAAGCUUGGCAAUCCGACAGACCGAAAUGUGUGUUUUAAGGUGAAGACUACAGCGCCACGUAGGUACUGUGUGAGGCCCAACAGUGGAAUAAUUGAUGCAGGGGCCUCAAUUAAUGUAUCUGUGAUGUUACAGCCUUUAGAUUAUGAUCCCAAUGAGAAAAGUAAACACAAGUUUAUGGUUCAGUCUAUGUUUGCUCCAACUGACACUUCAGAUAUGGAAGCAGUAUGGAAGGAGGCAAAACCGGAAGACCUUAUGGAUUCAAAACUUAGAUGUGUGUUUGAAUUGCCAGCAGAGAAUGAUAAACCACAUGAUGUAGAAAUAAAUAAAAUUAUAUCCACAACUGCAUCAAAGACAGAAACACCAAUAGUGUCUAAGUCUCUGAGUUCUUCUUUGGAUGACACUGAAGUUAAGAAGGUUAUGGAAGAAUGUAAGAGGCUGCAAGGUGAAUUUCAGAGGCUACGGGAGGAGAACAAGCAGUUCAAGGAAGAAGAUGGACUGCGGAUGAGGAAGACAGUGCAGAGCAACAGCCCCAUUUCAGCGCUAGCCCCAACUGGGAAGGAAGAAGGCCUUAGCACCCGGCUUUUGGCUCUGGUGGUUUUGUUCUUUAUUGUUGGUGUAAUUAUUGGGAAGAUUGCCUUGUAGAGGUAGCAUGCACAGGAUGGUAAAUUGGAUUGAUGGAUCCACCAUAUCAUGGGAUUUAAAUUUAUCAUAACCAUGUGUAAAAAGAAAUUAAUGUAUGAUGACAUCUCACAGGUCUUGCCUUUAAAUUACCCCUCCCUGCACACACAUACACAGAUACACACACACAAAUAUAAUGUAACAAUCUUUUAGAAAGUUAAAAAUGUAUAGUAACUGAUUGUGGGGGGAAGAAUGAUCUUUAUUAAUGACAAGGGAAACCAUGAGUAAUGUCACAAUGGCAUAUUGUAAAUGUCAUUUUAAACAUUGGUAGGCCUUGGUACAUGAUGCUGGAUUACCUCUCUUAAAAUGACACUCUUCCUCGCCUGUUGGUGCUGGCCCGUGGGGAGCUGGAGCCCAGCGUGGUGGGGAGUGAGGUCAUCUCCACACAGUAGUCCCCACGUGGCCCACUCCCGGCCCAGGCUGCUUUCCAUGUCUUCAGUUCUGUUCAAACCAUCAGCUCCUUGGGACUGAUGAACAGAGUCAGAAGCCCAAAGGAAUUGCACUGUGGCAGCAUCAGACGUACUCGUCAUAAGUGAGAGGCGUGUGUUGACUGAUUGACCCAGCGCUUUGUAAAUAAAUGGCAGUGCUUUGUUCUCUUAAAGGGACCAAGCUAAAUUUUUAUUGGUUCAGGUAGUGAAGUUGAACUGUUAUUCAGAGAUGUUUAAUGCAUAUUUAACUUAUUUAAUGUAUUUCAUCUCAUGUUUUCUUAUUGUCACAAGAGUACAGUUAAUGCUGUGUGCUGCCAAACUCUGGUGGGUGAACUGGUAUUGCUGCUGGAGGUCUGUGGGCUCCUCUGUCUCUGGAGAGUCUGGUCAUGUGGAGGUGGGGUUUAUUGGAAUGUUGGAGAAGAGCUGUCAGGAAGUGUUUUUCUGGGUCAGUAAAUAACAACUGUCAUAGGGAGGGAAAUUCUCUGUAGUGGCAGUCAACUCUAGGUUACCUUUUUUAAUAAAGAGUAGUCAGUAUUCUAGAUUGUUCUUAUACCACCUCUCAACCAUUACUCAUACUUCUAGCACCCAGGCCCAAGUCUGAGCCUAACCUCUCCUUGGGGACCUAGCUUGGAGUCAGGACGAAUGGAUCGGGGUGCAGAAGGUUAGAAUCGAGGGCACCAGCAGUUGGGGGUGGGGAGCAGUGGGAGAGAGAGACUCUUCAGCUAAUCCUUCUAGUACUAGUUGAGAGUUUGACUGUGAAUUAAUUUUAUGCCAUAAAAGACCAAUCCAGUUCUGUUUGACUAUGUAGCAUCUUGAAAAGAAAAAUUAUAAUAAAGCCCCAAAAUUAAGAA